rnacentral:rRNA from 1 species
UACGGGGGGGGCAAGCGUUGUUCGGAAUUACUGGGCGUAAAGGGCUCGUAGGCGGCCAACUAAGUCAUACGUGAAAUCCCUCGGCUUAACCGGGGAACUGCGUCUGAUACUGGAUGGCUUGAGUUCGGGAGAGGGAUGCGGAAUUCCAGGUGUAGCGGUGAAAUGCGUAGAUAUCUGGAGGAACACCGGUGGCGAAGGCGGCAUCCUGGACCGGUAUUGACGCUGAUGCGCGAAAGCCAGGGGAGCAAACGGG